rnacentral:tRNA from 1 species
UCCCUGGUGGUCUUGUGGCUAAGACUCUGAGCUCCUAGUGCAGGAGGCCCAGGUUCAAACCCUGGUCAAGGAA